UGGACUGGGAGGGACUGGGAUGGUCCCAGUGCCACCUACAGCUGUGACCAGUGCGGGGCCGAGACAUACCAGCCGGUACUGGGAUAUACUGGGAUAUACUGGGAGGGACUGGGAUGGACUGGGAUGGACUGGAAUGGUCCCAGUGCCACCUACAGCUGUGACCAGUGCGGGGCCGAGACAUACCAGCCGGUACUGGGAUAGACUGGGAGGGACUGGGAGGGACUGGGAGGGACUGGGUUAUACUGGGAUGGUCCCAGUGCCACCUACAGCUGCGACCAGUGUGGGGCUGAGACCUACCAGCCGGUACUGGGAUGGACUGGGAAUGGACUGGGAUGGACUGGGUUAUACUGGGAUGGUCCCAGUGCCACCUACAGCUGCGACCAGUGCGGGGCCGAGACAUACCAGCCGGUACUGGGAUGGACUGGGAUAUACUGGGUUAUACUGGGAGGGACUGGGAGGGACUGGGAUAUACUGGGAAUGGACUGGGAUAUACUGGGAUGGUCCCAGUGCCACCUACAGCUGCGACCAGUGUGGGGCCGAGACAUACCAACCGGUACUGGGAUAUACUGGGUUAUACUGGGAGGGGUUUGGGUUAUACUGGGAUGGACUGGGAUGGUCCCUGUGCCACCUACAGCUGUGACCAGUGCGGGGCCGAGACCUACCAGCCGGUACUGGGUUAUACUGGGAUAUACUGGGAUAUACUGGGAGGGACUGGGAGGGGUUUGGGUUAUACUGGGGUAUACUGGGAAUGGACUGGGAGGGACUGGGUUAUACUGGGAAUGGACUGGGAUGGUCCCAGUGCCACCUACAGCUGCGACCAGUGUGGGGCCGAGACAUACCAGCCGGUACUGGGGCAAACUGGGUUAUACUGGGAGGGACUGGGAUGGACUGGGAAUGGACUGGGAGGGACUGGGAUAUACUGGGAAUGGACUGGGAGGGACUGGGAUGGUCCCAGUGCCACCUACAGCUGCGACCAGUGCGGGGCUGAGACCUACCAGUCGGUACUGGGAUGGACUGGGAGGGACUGGGAGGGACUGGGAUAUACUGGGAGGGGUUUGGGUUGUACUGGGAUAUACUGGGAAUGGACUGGGAGGGACUCGGUUAUACUGGGAUGGUCCCAGUGCCACCUACAGCUGCGACCAGUGUGGGGCUGAGACAUACCAGCCGGUACUGGGAUGGACUGGGAGGGACUGGGAAU
rnacentral:lncRNA from 1 species